rnacentral:rRNA from 1 species
GACAGAGGUGCCGAGCGUUAGGCGGAAUCACUGGGCUUAAAGCGUGUGUAGGCGGCCCGUUAAGUGUCCGAGUGAAAUCCCCCGGCUCAACCGGGGAACCGCCGGGCAUACUGGCGGGCUUGGGCCGCUCAGGGGCAGACGGAACAGGCGGUGGAGCGGUGAAAUGCGUAGAUAUCUGGAGGAACACCGGUGGCGAAGGCGGCAUCCUGGACCGAUACUGACGCUGAGGAGCGAAAGCCAGGGGAGCAAACGGG